rnacentral:RNase_P_RNA from 1 species
ACGCGCUUCAACAUUGAAAAGUGUUCAAGUGAGGAAAGUCCGAGCACCGACGAUCAAGGAACGCCGGAUAACGUCCGGUAAAGGCGACUUUAAGGAUAGUGCAACAGAAAUAGACAGCAGCGCAAGCUGUGAUGGUGGAAAGGCGAGGUAAGAGCUCACCGGAGCUGAUAGGAGUCAGCUGCCAUGUAAACCCCGUUCCGGUGCAACACCGUGGAAAGCGAUAGAUGAUCGUACGCUUGAGGAGGUGGCUAUGAGCUGUUUGGCAACAAACAGCACAGAUAAAUGUUUGUCCAAGACAGAACUCGGCUUACAGCUAAUCU